GAUGAACGCUGGCGGCGUGCUUAACACAUGCAAGUCGAACGAAGCACCUUGAUUUGAUUCUUCGGAUGAAGAUCUUGGUGACUGAGUGGCGGACGGGUGAGUAACGCGUGGGUAACCUGCCUCAUACAGGGGGAUAACAGUUAGAAAUGACUGCUAAUACCGCAUACGACCACAGCACCGCAUGGUGCAGGGGUAAAAACUCCGGUGGUAUGAGAUGGAACCGCGUCUGAUUAGGUAGUUGGUGGGGUAACGGCCUACCAAGCCGACGAUCAGUAGCCGACCUGAGAGGGUGACCGGACACAGUGGGACUGGGACACAGUCCAAACUCCUACGGGAAGCAGCAGUGGGGAAUAUUGCACAAUGGGGGAAACCCUGAUGCAGCGACGCCGCGUGAGCUAUGAAGUAUUUCGGGAUGUAAAGCUCUAUCAGCAGGGAAGAAAAUGACGGUACCUGACGAAGAAGCACCGGCUAAAUACGUG
rnacentral:rRNA from 1 species